AUUGAACGCUGGCGGCAUGCUUUACACAUGCAAGUCGAACGGUAACAGGCCGCAAGGUGCUGACGAGUGGCGAACGGGUGAGUAAUGCAUCGGAACGUGCCCAGUCGUGGGGGAUAACGCAGCGAAAGCUGCGCUAAUACCGCAUACGAUCUAUGGAUGAAAGCGGGGGACCGUAAGGCCUCGCGCGAUUGGAGCGGCCGAUGUCAGAUUAGGUAGUUGGUGGGGUAAAGGCUCACCAAGCCAACGAUCUGUAGCUGGGCUGAGAGGACGACCAGCCACACUGGGACUGAGACACGGCCCAGACUCCUACGGGAGGCAGCAGUGGGGAAUUUUGGACAAUGGGCGCAAGCCUGAUCCAGCAAUGCCGCGUGCAGGAGGAAGGCCUUCGGGUUGUAAACUGCUUUUGUACGGAACGAAACGGCUCUGGUUAAUACCUGGGGCUAAUGACGGUACCGUAAGAAUAAGCACCGGCUAACUACGUGCCAGCCGCCGCAGUAACAC
rnacentral:rRNA from 1 species